AGAGUUUGAUCCUGGCUCAGAACGAACGCUGGCGGCGUGGAUAAGACAUGCAAGUCGGACGAGAUUUUUCGUUGUAGCAAUACGAUGGAAAGUCUAGUGGCGAACGGGUGCUUAACACGUGGGCAACCUGCCGAGAAGUGGGGGAUAGCUCGCCGAAAGGCGAAUUAAUACCGCAUGUGAUUAGAGUGGACAUCCAUUCGAAAUUAAAGUCGGGGCAACCUGACGCUUCUUGUGGGGCCCGCGGCCUAUCAGCUAGUUGGUGAGGUAAUGGCUCACCAAGGCUUUGACGGGUAGCUGGUCUGAGAGGACGACCAGCCACACUGGGACUGAGACACGGCCCAGACACCUACGGGUGGCAGCAGUCGAGAAUUUUUCUCAAUGGGGGAAACCCUGAAGGAGCGACGCCGCGUGGAGGAUGAAGGUCUUCGGAUUGUAAACUCCUGUCAUUGGGGAACAAUGCGUGAUGGUUAACUGCCGUCGCGUUGAUAGUACCCGAAGAGGAAGAGACGGCUAACUCUGUGCCAGCAGCCGCGGUAAUACAGAGGUCUCAAGCGUUGUUCGGAUUCAUUGGGCGUAAAGGGUGCGUAGGCGGCGCGGUAAGUCGGGUGUGAAAUCUCGGAGCUUAACUCCGAAACUGCAUUCGAUACUGCCGUGCUUGAGGACUGGAGAGGAGACUGGAAUUUACGGUGUAGCGGUGAAAUGCGUAGAUAUCGUAAGGAAGACCAGUGGCGAAGGCGGGUCUCUGGACAGUUCCUGACGCUGAGGCACGAAGGUCAGGGGAGCAAACGGGAUUAGAUACCCUAGUAGUCC
rnacentral:rRNA from 1 species